AUUGAACGCUGGCGGCAUGCUUUACACAUGCAAGUCGAACGGCAGCGCGGGCCUCGUCUUGGCGGCGAGUGGCGCACGGGUGUGUAAUGCAUCGGAAUGUGCUCAGCAGUGGGGGAUAGUCCGGCGAAAGCCGGAUUAAUACUGCAUAAGACCUGAUGGUGAAAGCGGGGGGCCGAAAGGCCUCGUGCUAUUGGAGGGGUCGAUGUCGGACUUGCUAGCUGGUGGGGUAAAGGCUUACUAAGGCGACGAUCCGCAGCUGGUCUGAGAGGACGACAGGCCACACUAGAGCUUGGCCAGGGCCAAGACUACUACGAGAGGCAGCAGUGGGGAAUUUUAGGCAGUGGGGGCGAACCUGACCCAACCAUGCCGCGUGCGAGGAAGCGGCGUUCGGGUUGUGAACCGGUUUUGUUCGGGAAGAACUCCUCUGGGCUGAUACCCCGCGGGAAUGACGGUACCGGAAAAAUAAGCACCGGCUAACUACGUG
rnacentral:rRNA from 1 species